UAACGGCGAGUGAAGCGGCAAGAGCUCAAAUUUGAAAUCUGACCUUCUGGUCCGAGUUGUAAUUUGUAGAGGAUGUUUCGGGCAAGAUCUAGGCCUAAGUUCCUUGGAACAGGACGUCAUAGAGGGUGAGAAUCCCGUACGUGGCUCAUGAUCGCGCCCAUGUGAAACUCCUUCGACGAGUCGAGUUGUUUGGGAAUGCAGCUCAAAAUGGGUGGUAAAUUUCAUCUAAAGCUAAAUAUUGGCCAGAGACCGAUAGCGCACAAGUAGAGUGAUCGAAAGAUGAAAAGCACUUUGAAAAGAGAGUUAAAAAGCAUGUGAAAUUGUUGAAAGGGAAGCGCUUGCAGCCAGACUUGUUUGCAGGGUUCAGUCGUCGUUCUCGUCGGUGUAUUUCCCUGCUAUCAGGCCAGCAUCAGUUUUCGUGGAAGGUCAAAGGCCUUGGGAAUGUGACAUCCUUCUGGAUGUUUUAUAGCCCUCGGUGUAAUGCUUCCCACCUGGACUGAGGCACGCGUUCGCUAGGAUGCUGGCGUAAUGGCUGUAAGCGGCCCGUCUUGAAACACGGACCAAGGAGUCUAACAUCUAUGCGAGUAUUUGGGUGUCAAACCCAUAUGCGUAAUGAAAGUGAACGGAGGUGGGAGCCUUCCCGGCGCACCAUCGACCGAUCCUGAUGUCUUCGGAUGGAUUUGAGUAAGAGCAUAGCUGUUGGGACCCGAAAGAUGGUGAACUAUGCCUGAAUAGGGUGAAGCCAGAGGAAACUCUGGUGGAGGCUCGCAGCGGUUCUGACGUGCAAAUCGAUCGUCAAAUUUGGGUAUAGGGGCGAAAGACCAAUCGAACCAUCUGGUAGCUGGUUUCUGCCGAAGUUUCCCUCAGGAUAGCAGUAACGUUUUCAGUUUUAUGAGGUAAAGCGAAUGAUUAGAGGCCUUGGGGUUGAAACAACCUUAACCUAUUCUCAAACUUUAAAUAUGUAAGA
rnacentral:rRNA from 1 species